CACCACAGCUCCACUGGAUGGAACCGCCCCAGCUUCCUCCAGCCCAAACUGCUGCACCCACCACCCAGAGAAAUGGAAGUCAAGGACUCAGCAGUCCAAGGCAGCCCUUCUGAAGCAACUUCAGGGGCUCAGCAAAUAUUUGUUGAGAACCUCCUCUGUGCCUGGCUGGAUCAGGGUGGGGCUGUAGAGCUGCACAUCAUAGUCUGCAUCCGGGUCAGCCCUGAAUCUCAGGCACUGGAAGGUUACCCUGAUGGGCAGGACCCACUCCCAUCACUAAGAGAACAUCAAAAGGGCAGGUGUGGGGGUGGAUAGGAAGAUCAGGAUCUCUGAAAGGGUAAGUGUUUGAUAAAAUCCCCUUCCCUGUCCCCACAGCCUGGGACUCCUGGCACCCUGGGGAAGGGCUGUGCCUUCAGGGCUCGCCUUAGACCAGGAGAAGCCAUGGAAAGAUUUUCAGGAGAGGAGGAGUGGAGGUAAAUCUACAGUUCAGCACUUCUCCCUCCACACAGUGGAAGGAUUGACAGGCGAUUGAUUGGCAGGGGAGGUGCCCUAGUUUCUAUCAGGAAAAGAAACCCUAUGACCUGCAUGAGCUCUAGGCAUUGUGUGGGAAAGAGCAGAGAGAGCCAAGAAGCUCCCAGGGGGAGUGGACAGCACCCAGUGAAAGGAGAGACACUGAGGGAGGGGACAAGGAUGCUCCUGCAGCCCCAGGGGAAGGAAGCCAGUUAUCAGAGCCAGGUUCCAAUCCUGCCUCAGCUACUACAUCCCUCCCUGCCCUAAAGCUUAACAAUCAUAAUCACACAAAAGUCAUCCUCAGUCUCAGGUGUGGGCUGGGACUUUACACAUUUUCUCAUUUAACACUGAAACCACCUUUGCAAAGAUGAUGACAGUGAGAGAGUCCAGCAUGGCUAACUCCGUCUUAUUUCUAGCCCCACAGGCUGGCUGUCCUCACUCUUUCCCGAACGUAGGCCAAGCAAACCUGGGGAGGAACUUAGUUUAUAGUUUAACUUUGAAGCAAGGAUGAUAAUAGUCCCUCCCUAAAACUAACCCCUGAAACCACCUUUGUAAAACUAAUGAAAGCCUACUAGAUUAGAAAUGUGGGAAGGGCCUGAAUUCUGCUAAAAUGUCUGCAUAGUUAGAUGAUAACCAGUCAUUGCUCAACAUCACUAUUGUAGAACCUAAGAUUGGUCUUUUGAGAUGUUUUUCAGAAAUUUGCAUUGUGGUAACCUACAGACUCCACCUGGACCCAUGAUUCAUGACUCAACCAGUCCACCCAGAAGCUGACUCAGAGCAUAAGGAGCAUUUUCCACACCCCUAGGAUUUCAUCUCCAACCAAUCAGCAUUCCCCAUUCUCUAGCCCCUGUCCACCAAACUAUUCUUUAAAAACCUUAGCUCUAAGCUUUAUUUAUUUAUUUAAGUAAUACACUCCUGUCUUCCACUUAGCUGGUUCUGUAUUUAUUAAACUCUUUCUCUACUGCCAUACCGCUAUCUCAGUAAAUUAGCUCUAUCUGUGCAGUUGGCAAGAAGAACUGGUCAGGUGGUUAAAACACUACAGAUAGGCAUUGUUAAACAAAACAAUGGACUAAGCCCCUGCACUAGGCUCCAACAGAACAGACAAAAUCAAAAUGGAGUCACUCAUGCUAAAUGUCAUAUAAUCAAACUGAAACUCUAAGGAAGCUGAUAAAUCCUAAAACAGACCUUUUUUUUUCCUGAAAACAGGAAAUUUCAGUCUACCAGAGUCAACCUAGUAAGAAAGUUGCCUCUUCUUUGACCUUUAUGAGAAAGUAACCUGAAGUAACCUGACAUUAAUGAAUCAGCUUCUCUUCUACUAUUCUGUUUCCUUACUCCCACCUUACAAAGCUCACUGCUCUGCUUGCCCUAGUGAGAGAACUCAUUCUAUUGUGUAGAGUAGAGUCAGCCAUGAUUCAUGAAUUAUGAAUAAAAGACAAUUAGAUCUAUAACUAAGUUUGCUGUAAUUUUAUCUUUUGACAGCACUAUUGAUAUGGUUUGGAUGUUUGUCCCCUCCAAAUCUCAUAUUGAAAUGUAAUCCCCAGUGUUGAAGUUGGGGCCAAGUAGGAGUGGUGUGGGUCAUAGGGGCAGAUCCCUCAUGAAUGGCUUCGUGCCCUCCCUCACAGGAAUGAGUAGUUCCCACUCUACUAUUCAUGCAAGAGUUGGUUGUUUAGAAGAGGCCCGGCAUCUCUCUUGCUCUCUCUCUCUCACUAUGUGACACGCUGGCUCCCUUCCCCUUCUGCCAUGAUUAGAUGCUUCCUGAAGCCCUCGCCAGAGGCAGAUGCUGGCAUCAUGCUUCUGGUGCCAUGCUUGUACAGUCUGCAGAACAAUAAGCCAAAUAAAUCUCUUUUCUUUAGAAAUUACCCAGCCUCAGGCAUUCCUUUAUAGCAACACAAAAUGUACUAACACAACUAUUAUCGCCCCUAUUUUACAGAUGUGGAAACUGAGAAUCAGGAUAUUUUGUUGUCUUAGCCAAGGAAAAAUAGCAAGUAUUGUGGUGGAGAUUUGAGGCCAUCUGGUCCAGUGUCUUUGCUUUUUCCUACACCACUUUUUAAAGAUGAGGUUUUAAAAAAUGGCCCUAGUUCCUGAAUACUUGCUGUUGGGAGUAGCUGUGUUAGGAAGAGAGCUUUGGCCCAUGUCCUACCACAUAUGACUUCAGCCCUGCCUCUCUGGCCCACAGCCUGUCACCCUGUCAGAGAAGGAAAUCAGAGUCCACCAAAGUUACAGUAAUGCCCCCUAGAUGGCCAAAGAGAGAAGUAGACAAGAGUCCAUUGCCAUGGUGUUCAGCUUAGACUGGUGGGCUGGAGGCUGUUCUCAGGGUCCUACCAGCCCCACAGCUCUGGGGGAGGAGUUGGUGCAGCCACUCACAGGGGUGGGAGAGACAGCCAGAUGGGGCUGGCUCAUGCAGGCAGGGGUGGGUAAGCCUUUCUCUCCAGGAUGUCAGGGUUAUUAGGAGGGUGCCCAAGUCACUACCACAAGGUAGCCUAGAGUCUGCAUCCCCCAGGAUGUCCCCAGUCAUCCUCACCUCCUGGUAUUCAUGCCAUGGUCCAGUCCUCACCCACACUGAAUAGAGCUGACCUGUGUGACCAAUAGGAUAUUACAGAAAUGAUGGUAAAUGACUUCUGAGGCCAGGUCGUAAAAGACAUUACAGUUUCCAGCUGGCAGUUUCUUUUGGAUUAUUCUCUCUGGGGGAAGCCAACCACCAUGUCAGCAGGAUGCUCAAGCAGCCCAUGGAGACACCCAUAAAGUAGGGGACUGAAGCCUCCUACCGACAGCUAGCACAAAUUAUUUUUUGGAGACAGGAUCUCAAUUUGUCUCCCAGACAGAGUGCAGUGGUGCAGUCAUGGCUCACUGCAUCCUCAACCUCCCAGGCUCGAGAGAUCCUACCUCUUCAGCAUCCUAAGUAGCUGGGACCACAGGCAUGUGCCACCAUGCCCAGCUGAUUUUUUAAAACUUUUUUAUUUAUAGAGACAGGGUCUCCCUGUGUUGCCUAGGCUGGAUCACCAAUUUUUCACUUGUGUGUGAGAGCCACCUUGCAAGUGGGUCCUCCAGCCCUAGUCGAACCUUCAGAUGACUGCAACCCUGGCCCACAACUUGACUGUGUUAACCUAAAUAACAAAUAUAGAGAGGCUGUCUAAAAGAAAAGAUGUUUAUUUGGGACUAGAGCAUUGCAAUGGGAAUAUGUGUGCCAUAGUAAAUUAUGUGCAUAUUCAUGGAGGUAAAGG
rnacentral:lncRNA from 1 species